UAUGGCUCAAGUGGAUUCUGUUCUUUUUAG
rnacentral:piRNA from 1 species